rnacentral:rRNA from 1 species
AUUGAACGCUGGCGGCAUGCCUUACACAUGCAAGUCGAACGGCAGCAUGGAGAGCUUGCUCUCUGAUGGCGAAUGGCGAACGGGUGAGUAAUGCAUCGGAACGUACCGUGUAAUGGGGGAUAACGUAGCGAAAGUUACGCUAAUACCGCAUACGACCUGAGGGUGAAAGCAGGGGAUCGCAAGACCUUGCGUUAUACGAGCGGCCGAUGUCAGAUUAGCUAGGUGGUGAGGUAUAGGCUCACCAAGGCGACGAUCUGUAGCGGGUCUGAGAGGAUGAUCAGCCACCCUGGGACUGAGACACGGCCCAGACUCCUACGGGAGGCAGCAGUGGGGAAUUUUGGACAAUGGGGGCAACCCUGAUCCAGCCAUGCCGCGUGAGUGAAGAAGGCCUUCGGGUUGUAAAGCUCUUUCGGCCGGGAAGAAAUCGCACAGGCUAAUACUCUGUGUGGAUGACGGUACCGGCAUAAGAAGCACCGGCUAACUACGUGCCAGCAGCCGCCGUAA